AAAGCGCGAUAGAUAAUGUGAAUUGCAGACGUGAAUCAUUGAGUUUUUGAACGCACAUUGCACCUCUUUGGAGGUAUACUUGUGUGAGCGUCAUUUUUUCUCCACAUAUAUAUUAGUGGGUAAUGGUUCACUAUAUGGACUGAAAAAGAUUAUACACAGUUGUUAGACACAAGCUGUGGAAAAUUAUCAAAUUUUGACCUCAUAUCAAGUAAGAUCACCCGCUGAACUUAA
rnacentral:misc_RNA from 1 species